UAGUAAGAUUAGAUUUGUAGAUAGAUAAAAAUAUUAUUCUUAAAUAGAUUAAUCAUAACUGAUAUUUUUCUAACAAAUUAAAUAUAACCAUUCAGUUUUAUUUAAAAUAUUUUUCAAUAAAUUAAUUAUAAUCGUUCGUAAAGAUUUUUUUUUUUUUUUGAUUCCGUCUGUACGCUUUUAUAUAUAGUAUAGAUAUAAAUAGAUAUAGAUAAAGAUAGAUUUUAUAUAUAUAUAUAUAUAUAUAUAUUGG
rnacentral:lncRNA from 1 species